UUGAACUGAAGAGUUUGAUCCUGGCUCAGAUUGAACGCUGGCGGCAUGCCUUACACAUGCAAGUCGAACGGCAGCACGGGUGCUUGCA
rnacentral:rRNA from 1 species